UUUCUCUGGAUAGAGGUUGCAUUCUUCUUGUGCUGUCACUGGUUGUUGGCAGAAGGUGUGUCCAUCCAAGCCUAUGAAAUGACUCAUAAACAAUUUUAACUUGAACGUCCCCAGAGCGGUGCUUGGAAACUCGAUCCUACAGCUAAAUCAUUUAACAUCAUGCAGAACUCAUCCUUCCCACUGCAUCAAUCCAUUUUCUCUUGGCAAAGGAGAAAUUGCAAUCUGCCAGCCAGGGAUGCCCAUGUCUUGUGAGCAGCAGAGGGGUUCCCAGGUGGAUCCCCAAAGAUGGAGACAAGUUGUGGGGGGAUAAAAUACAAAGACUACAACUGCUGCAAUAGUUCACAGGUCCAGUUUCAGAACUGAGAGGUUCUGCCCUGCAUUUUGCUAUGGGAUGGAUUCAUCUUGGAGACAGAUAUGAAAAGUUGAGAAAGAAAAUACUGAAUCGCUGUAUGUGAAGCUUGCGUAGGGCACAGAAGCUCCAUGGAGUCAUAAGUAGCAAAGAGGAUGCAGAAAUGCUGCACAUCCCAAUGAAUUGCCAGCACUGGUGUCAAGCUCAGAAAAUCUGCUGAGGAUCAACAAGAAUGAAGCCUUUACAACAGCCAAAUCUGAAUGUGCCUAUGAAAAGCUGAGGGAAGAAGCUCAAAACACAGGGGAGCUGCAGCACGUCCUCCACCUGUCCCCUGGCAUGGCAAGGGAUAUCAUGACUGCCUAUGGCAACCCAGCAUGGCACAGGGAUCAGCCUCCAAAAGACAUCACAGGGAAGUGCAGCCUGCCAACAGCAUGAGGAAAGUCAGACAACCACCUUGUCACCUCCCACGUAAUUAUCUUCUGCACAAGAGAAGAGCCAAUCGCUUGCUCCCAUCUUCACCUUUGUGAUGCUCCCUCUGAGCACAGAACCUGGAUUGAUGGGUUUUCACUUUAUGUUCAUGAAAACACCUUCUCCAGAGGAAAGGCUGUACCCAUAGGUAAAGACUUUGAGGGCAAAAGCUCUGCAGAUCGUCUCGCUUGCAACAGGAAGAAGUGCACCAAAUAUCAGCUACUGUCCUACAUCUCAAUGUGGGAAAUGUCAGCAUAUUCAGCUAUGGUAAACAUGCGUGAUGGCAGUAAAGAAUGUGCAAGAAAAUACCCUUUCAAGCCAAUAGAAAGACACGGAGGCUGCAAUCGUCUUCCAGUUUUUGUAACUUUUAACAUAUCUGUACCAGUUGGCAUCAUGGUCACCCUGAAGUAAAUCCUAUGCGACACAGAGCGUUGCUUACAAACCCCAUUAACAAUUCUCACCAAAAAUCCUCAUAAAACUUCGGCAGAAAACAUUAAGAAGCGGAUGAUGAUUGCCCUCAUCAUCUCCUAUUUCAGAUAUGAAAGGAGAAGCGUAUUUGAACUGCUGUGCAAAUAAGUAUGCCACUUUCUCUACAGCUUUUUCAUAGUUAGUAAUUGGAGUAGGUCAAAUUAUUUGCGAAGAACAACAUGUUGGUUUAUUUCUGCCUGUCUCCCUGUUACUGAAUAACUCUUAGACAGACAGCAAGGAUGUCUGGAGGGUUUAUAGCAAUCUUCACCCACCUGAGAGAGCGUGUCUGUGCUUGUCUAAAGAUGGAGCCAGAGGACAUUGGAGGUGGCAGAGUGGAGAUAGGAAUACUGUAAUAGCAUGUUGUCUGUGCCACGCUUAGGUCCAUGGAAACACAGGAAGAGAGGACAGAUGAAGGGCAGGAGAAAGAGGCAUCCAUCAUUGUUUUGGUUCACCUAUUGUUAUUUACCUUAGUACAUAGCGGAUUCCCUGAUCACUUGGUUUCAUUUCUGCUCUGCUUGCUUUUCACCCAGAACAAAUUGCUGUUUGACAUGACAGUCAUCUAAGGAAAUGGGUUUCCUUUUAUUCAAAGCCAUAGAUUUAAAUAAUUGUUCAGAAUUAACAUGACUCAUUCCUUCUCAGUUACAUCUUCUUUUUGUUCACCAAAGGAUCUCAGUCUGCCCAUCUUUUGUCCCUGUUAAUUCCCUUCAAAUCCCAUUGAUAUCCGUGUUGGGUAUUAAGAGAGAUCUGAGGCCACAUGCAUGAGCCUGAAGUCUGUAUCCUGUUGCAAGGGGAACAUGAAGGAUGCAGGAUUUCCCAUCCCCUAACCGAUCGGCAGCAGAGGUGUGGAGUUUUACCCUGGGUGUCCAUUACAGUUCCUUCAAGUUGUGCAUGUAAGAGUAGGAUGGGUUUAUAUGAACUGGGAUUUCUUAUUCUAUCCCUUUGUGACUGACCAGCAGCUGAUUUGUAUAGCAAGGGUCCCACUGUUUUGCUCACAACCAGGCCCAGCCAUGCCCUGUGCCAUCCCAUCCAGCUUUCACAACCCCUAGUGGAGAAGCAAAGCUCUUUCCAUCCUCAAUAUGCCAGAAGUCCAUGAAAACUAACAUCAAUUUUGUAAAGGCCUUCAUGGUCAUGUCUUACAAGCUCAUGGUUCAGGUGCCUUCAGAUUUAAAUGCAUCACCUUCAUCUGCUGCCAUUUAGCAUCAUCCUUAGCUGCUAUGGGAUAGAGAAGCUCAGUCUCUACGCCGUGUGGCAGCCUCUUCCAUCAUCUCUCCAAACACAGCAGCUAUUUAAUACUUCUGCUUGUUUUACUCCAUCAAUGCAGAUUUCAUCACUGCUAUCUACUAAAUGAUUUGGUGGACUGCCAGACCUACUUUUGGUCCGGGUACAUUUUUUAAUCUUUCUUGUUUGUUGUUGUUGUUGUUGUUUGUUUUUUGUUUUUGUUUUGUUAGCCUAGUAGCUACUGCUGUAUUAGAACUACCUUUAGCUUUCCUUAGCUAUGGCAAAGUCCCAGUAUUUAUUCAUCAUUGUUAACCCCAGCUCCGUUCUUUCCAUUUGAUAGCGGAGCAUUAGUAAUAGCAGUAAUAUCACUUAUCAGCACUGUGUUUUGCUUUUCAUCCCCCAGCUUUUCUCACGGGUUUUGCAGCGUUCAGGCUGCUACACAGGGCUUUAUCCCAUGACUCACAGUGCACAUUAAACGAGGGGUGGUGGCUGAAGUCCUCAAUUUUUCUGACUUUCAAAGGUCAGAGAGGAUUUUGAGAUAACUCCAAACUUUACUUAUGCUGUUCUGAGUGACCGAAGGCUUCUCUGAGGACUUAAUUCUGCCUUAGAUGUUGUCUCCUUAUAUUUGGAGAUACCAUUUUGCUGUGCUGUUUUCUUUUCCCAAGAAACCUAAAAUUUAUAAAAUUACUCUUUUCUUUGCUCCUG
ensembl:lncRNA